rnacentral:lncRNA from 1 species
AUUCAAUAUACAUAAAUCCAAAUACUGAAAUCUUCAAUUGCCAGAAAUUGAAAUGAUGGAAAUCUAAAUUCUGUCAUUUUAGAAUUCUAUGUAAUUUUCAAUUCAUUCAUUCAAACGGAGAGUUUUUGGAGUUUCCUUUUAAUUUCAUUCCCGCUUUCAUUUCAUUUGAAGAUGACCCCAAAACCAAUUAGAAGCACCACGGGGAUCAGAGAUCAAGCUCUAUGCAGAGCUUGAGUUUUGAUAAGUGGGGAACAAUAAACAAUCUCUUACAUUUUGGAAUCGUGUAACAUUUAUUAAUUCAUCACAAAACAAUUAUGGCUCGAAAAUCUUGGUGCCUUGAUCACGUGAAGCCAUUGAAUCUCGAUUCAAGACCAUCAAUGAUGAAUGCUCUCUAUGAAAGAAUUGUCUGAAUAAAGGCAACACGAGCUCAGCAAGUGACAUGGUGAGUAGUUAUCUUCAUAGUUUAAUGUUAUCAUCGCAAUUAUAUUUGUCCACCAUCAUCGUAAUCAUGUGAAAUUGUAUAUUUUUGAACGAUCACAUACCUCCAUGUAAAGAUUUUUAAGCUGUAUCAUGCGUGGCAUAUCUUAAAAGAUUGCCUUAAAUAGGCCCAUCAAGCUAACUGUGUUAUGGGAAGAUCAUGUUUUAUUUUCCUAAUUAGAUCGGUGCACUAGAUACUAAGUUAUAUCAGGUUUUGAUAAGAGUUUUAAAUUAAGUUAUACUUUGAGGCCCAAAACCUUGUGGAAUAAGGAAAUGUUUUGAAGCCUAUUAAGAGGUCCUAUUUAUUUCCUUUUGUGUGAACCAAUUUGGUGGACUUGGAAGAUUAGUCAAGUCUGCCCUCGGUGAUGAGUAGAGACGACUUGAUCUAGCCCUAUAAACUUAAGGCCCUACUCUCACAGACACGUUCUCCAACCCUAUUCUCAUCAUAAAGAGAUAGCUGAAAUAGAUUCUGAGAGAGCAAAAGUCUUGAGCUAUUCCUGUUCUUGCUAGAAUUGCUGCUGCUACGGAUUGAAUGAGUUCAGAGGUCGUGUACUCAAGGAAGAUGGCUCCAGGUAUGUCUUUAUGUCCUUAUGUAUUUCAGAUUGUGUGAAAGAUCUUAAACAUGUAUAUUAAAGAAAUGUAACAGUUGGUAUCAGAGCACAUGGUUAUUCACACACACUGAAAUCGUUCUUCAAGCAUGCCUACUAUGAUUUCAUAUCUAUUUAUGUCGGCUAACCUUGAAAUGGUCUCUUCGUUCUUCUUAAGCUCACCCUUGUGAGCCUUCUCUCAGAUCUGGUGCAGCAUGUAACCAUGAGCGUCUAGAUAAAAUUACGGCUCAAAAGCUGUGGGCGUCCUACUGGUGAAUCAAACGAAAGCCUGAGAAAAUGACGUCGUUGAGGAUUGAAAAUACGAAAUAGAGAAGAGAAAUUGAAAGUGAAAGAAGCAAUGAGGAAGACGACG